CAGCCGCCGCGGGAAUACGUAGGGUGCAAGCGUUAAUCGGAAUUACUGGGCGUAAAGCGUGCGCAGGCGGUUUGUUAAGACAGAUGUGAAAUCCCCGGGCUCAACCUGGGAACUGCAUUUGUGACUGGCAGGCUAGAGUAUGGCAGAGGGGGGUGGAAUUCCGCGUGUAGCAGUGAAAUGCGUAGAUAUGCGGAGGAACACCGAUGGCGAAGGCAGCCCCCUGGGCCAAUACUGACGCUCAUGCACGAAAGCGUGGGGAGCAAACAGGAUUAGAUACCCCUGUAGUCCCUGUCUCUUAUAC
rnacentral:rRNA from 1 species